CUUGGCAACGAUGUUAAAUGCUGUAACCAAUGGUAGUCUUGGCACAUCUUAACAUGCUCGUUACAGUUAGGAGUUAAAGUCUACAACAUGUGUAGUCAUAACUACCACAUGUGUACUCAAUGAGUUACCUGACUUUGUCUAUGACUUGUAUAGACAAAGCUAUUUGUAGAAACGUUACACAUAAUCAAUUGGAGCCUUGAAGAGGCUAGUCCAUGGCCGAGGUUCAUUGGAAAUAAGAGCAGGAGGCCGCGAUCUAGAGCGCGACCUACUUUGAUGUUGCUUCGUCAAAGGAAUUGGACGAGCAACUUGAGAAGGGAGCCUCGCCGUCGAAUCUACCCUCUCUCCACCGUCACCAGACCCAGGAACCAUCGUUGCCAUGUCCCGGCACCUUUUUUUUUUUCUUCUUUUUCUUCUUUUUUUUUUUUUUUUUUUUUUAAUAAGGAGCUCUCCUUUCUGCAAUUGCCACCCCCCGUAAGGAGCUCUGUUUCACCGAGCAGAGCAAGAGAGAAAGGUUCGAUUUCAGCCUUCCCGUUGCUACCAACCGCAGAGAGGAAAGAAGAACAGAUUUGUCCUCUGUUCCGUUCCUUUCUGCGAAGAACAGAAAUUCCUCUGUUCCCGUUCUUUCAAGAUCCGAUCUGCCCCAAUAUGUUUCCGGGCCCCUUACGAUGAGAAGAGGAAGAAAGUUUUCGAUCUGGAAAGAGCAGAGCGUCCCCGAUUUCUCUGGUCGCAGCCUCGCCUCCGCUGGAAGGAAUCAGCCACCGAGCCUCUUUCCCCCGAUGAGAAGCAGGGGGCGGUGCAGAGACCCUCUCUUCUCCCUUCUCGGAUGGAAGAAGGAGAGCAGAUCUCCACUGUUCGGGCUCCUUUUUCCCGAUUAGAAGAGUAAGAAGGAGACCCCUCCUCUAUUCGUGCAAGAGAAAUAGAGCACAUCUCCCACCUUCUUCGAUCUCGCUGAAAGAAGGAGAGCAGAACCGCGCUUUCUUUCUUUGACAGCACAGCUGGUCUCAGCCCCUUUCCUCGUCUUCGCCCUCCUCUGUUUCACAAUGGAAGAAGAACGCCGGCCGCAGAGAGGAUAGGAUCUCUUCCCUUCUUGCAGAAGAAGGAAGAGACAACCCCUCUUCUUGUUCGCGUAAGAGGAAGGAGGAGAGCAGAGAGUGCGACCUCCCUUCUGCGGUCGAUCUCGCAGGUCUCCAGCAGUCGCCCCUUUACCCGAAGCUCGCCGCUGCCGUCGUCCAGCGGUGAAGAGCGCCGACCGCUGGAAGAAGCAGCCACCGAUCGGCAGCAGCUUUUCAUUUGGGUCAUAUCAAUCCUUCAGUUUAUUUUGAAUCAACAUAAAAACAGAGACUAAUUUUCUGUAGGAUGGGGUUAGAACACUUGUCUUUAAGAAUUUUGACCCUAAGUGAAAAGAUUUGGGCAAGAACCCUUAAAGCCCCAA